AUUGAACGCUGGCGGCAGGCUUAACACAUGCAAGUCGAGCGGGGGAAGGUAGCUUGCUACCGGACCUAGCGGCGGACGGGUGAGUAAUGCUUAGGAAUCUGCCUAUUAGUGGGGGACAACAUCUCGAAAGGGAUGCUAAUACCGCAUACGUCCUACGGGAGAAAGCAGGGGAUCUUCGGACAUUGCGCUAAUAGAUGAGCCUAAGUCGGAUUAGAUAGUUGGUGGGGUAAAGGCCUACCAAGGCGACGAUCGGUAGCGGGUCUGAGAGGAUGAUCCGCCACACUGGGACUGAGACACGGCCCAGACUCCUACGGGAGGCAGCAGUGGGGAAUAUUGGACAAUGGGGGGAACCCUGAUCCAGCCAUGCCGCGUGUGUGAAGAAGGCCUUAUGGUUGUAAAGCACUUUAAGCGAGGAGGAGGCUACUUUAGUUAAUACCUAGAGAUAGUGGACGUUACUCGCAGAAUAAGCACCGGCUAACUCUGUGCCAGCCGCCGCAGUAA
rnacentral:rRNA from 1 species